rnacentral:rRNA from 1 species
UACAGAGGUCUCAAGCGUUGUUCGGAUUCAUUGGGCGUAAAGGGUGCGUAGGCGGCGCGGUAAGUCGGGUGUGAAAUCUCGGGGCUUAACUCCGGAACUGCCUUUGAUACUGGCGAUCUCGAGUCCGGGAGAGGUGAGUGGAACUGCGAGUGUAGAGGUGAAAUUCGUAGAUAUUCGCAAGAACACCAGUGGCGAAGGCGGCUCACUGGCCCGGUACUGACGCUGAGGUGCGAAAGCGUGGGGAGCAAACAGG